GGGGCUAAACGUAUCACCGAAGCUGCGGACUGUUCUUGCGAACAGUGGUAGGAGAGCGUUCUAAGGGCUGUGAAGCGAGACCGGAAGGACUCGUGGAGCGCUUAGAAGUGAGAAUGCCGGUAUGAGUAGCGAAAGAGGGGUGAGAAUCCCCUCCACCGAAUGCCUAAGGUUUCCUGAGGAAGGCUCGUCCGCUCAGGGUUAGU
rnacentral:rRNA from 1 species